AAAUACAACAAAAGACACACUACAAUCUUAUUCGCUUUACCUUUACUAAUAAUUGCCAUUUAAAUGUUUUGUUUAGCUAGAACCUGCAGUUCGUCGUAAUGUGACUGUCAGUGAUGUGCCCGAUGUUUUUCUUUUAAUAGUGGUUAUUUCUUUUGGGGAUUUAUAAUGUUCCAGAUAUGAAAAGAAGGGAUACUGCAACUUUUGGUCCGAGCAACUUCUGAUUUAUCUUCAUCUUACAAUUCAACCAAGCCUCGGACAUGGAUGAGGAAACUUCAGAUGAGGAAACUUCGGAUGUGGAAUCUAUAGAUGGACAAACUUUGGAUGAGGUAAAAACAUCAAAACUUAGUUAAUUCAAUUUGAUAUUUUUUUUUUAUUUUUGAAACAAACUUAUAUAGUGUAACUUUACUCUCACAGCAUAUUGUUUUGUACUUGUAAGUUAUAGUUAAACCAGAACAUUGCAGAAUUCAUAUCAAUAUUUCUACAAAACAUAUCUCUACAAACCAGUAAAAAUCUGAAAUGAACAGUAUUUGUACUGGACUCGACUGGUUUUUACUCGACCAUUCUGAAUGGGUUUGAAAUUUACUUAAUGUUACUAGACACCAAUCUUAACCAUACUUGACUGUUCUGAUUUGUACUGGACCUUUAUCUUGGCCAUACUGAAAAGUCUGAACUCUGACCAAGCUCAAACAAUCUUAAACCAUUCUCGUCCUGUAAAUAACCAGUUCACGAUCUGCUUUCAAUGUCUUAAUACUCGACCAAAGGUUAAAAGACUGAGCCAUACUUAACCAAAGUCUGAACCAUACUCGACCAAAGUCUGAACCCUACUCGACAAAAGUAUGAACCUUACUCGAUAAAUAAACGUCUACUUUAUCAAUCUUGAGUGUAUAAGUAUAAUGUUUUCCUUUUAUUAACGACUUAAUUAUUUUUACAUUUAUGUUCGAUUGUUUUAUUGGACAAAUAAGUUUUUGUUCAAAUUUUUAGCCGAGUGAAAAAAAAAAAAGACUUUAGAUAGAAGGAAUAAAAGAUAUAGAUAAAGAAUAGGUCGAGGAUUGUUAAGACUUGGUCUUAUACAGUGUGACUUUACUCUCAUAGAAUAUUGUGUUGUACUAGUAAAAAGUAAAGUCACAAACAUACCGAACCCCGAGGAAGAUUCAAAACGGAAAGUCCCUAAUCAAAUGGCAAAAUCAAAAGCUCAAACACAUCAAAAGAAUGGAUAACAGCUGUCAUAUUCCUGACUUGGUACAGGCAUUUUCUUAUGUAAAAAAUGGUGGAUUUAACCUGGUUUUAUAGUUAGCUAAACCUCUCACUUGUAUGACAGUCGCAUAAAAUUCCAUUAUAUUGACAACGAUGUGUGAACAAAACAAACAGACAUAAGAGGUAAAAAUGUCGAAAUAGGGGUACAACAGUCAACAUUGUGUUAUAAUCUUAAUCACUAUAAAAACAAAUAUUUAACAAAGAAACACAAAAAGGCAUAUAGACAAAGCACAUAAGCAAAAAUGAAAGACAAGAAUACAACAAUUUACCAUCGCACAAGAACACAAUGACGGGAUGUAUAAGUACCGAGCCACGUCAAAUUGAUAUCACCAAAAAUAGACUAUCAGUAAAAAUGUAUUAAAAAAGACAAAUAAAAGAAUUCUAUAAAACGUUAUUAAGAUGAUAAACAACGUCAGUACUAAGAAUCUUUACUUCAAGACCUCGUGUAUUAGUUGUGAAGUUGAUACGGAAUAUUUAUCAACAAGGUCUUGGUACCUUCCGAUGAACUUUUUUAGAAAAAGGACGAGACGUUCUUUGUCAUACCCCUGGUUCAUCAACAUUCUGCUAAGACACUGGUGACGUUUUACAAAGUCUGAGUAGCAGCUUGAAUACCGAACAAGCUGCGAAAUGUAUAUGCCAUAUGCAGGUGAAGUUGGUAUAUUGCUACUAAGGUGGGGGAAAUUGACAAUUUCAAAAUUAAAUCGUCUCGUUUGUCAUAGAUUGUGGUACUGAGAUGACCGUGUAUGUCAAAUUCGAGGUAUAAGUCUAAAAUUGAGUUGGAGGAAUCCGUGUCUGUUGUUUCUUUAAUUUCUAGUUCUGGGGGGAUAUAUUAAUGGAACCCAAUCAGAAAAGUUUGGAUUGUUAAUAGAAAGAACAUCAUCAAUAUUUCUGAAUGUGAAAUUAAAUGACCUGGCUUCUUUGAUCGUCUUGUUUUUGACAAGUGUCUGAAGGAACUCCGACUCCUAUGAAAAUAAGAAGAGGUCGGCAAGGAGAGGCGCACAGUUCGUUCCCAUAGGACAAGUCUAUCUCCAAAUUCAACAAAUAUGUUGUCAAUAAGAAACUCCAGCAUACUGAUCACUUGUUACGGAGUAUAUAUCUCCCAAUUGAUACGAUUUUCCCGGGCUUGUGUUUCCUAUCAUGAUUUCCUUGAUAGAGGAUUGCUGCUCACAAGGAAGCUAUUAAGCCAAGAGUUCCAAAUGGUGAAGUUGAAAUCAUCCCUUCGUAAAUUUUACGGACGCCAUCACGAGUUGGUUGACCGUUAUGGAAUAACCGUUUCACAGAUGAUAUCGGAUAUGUUCCUUAUGUCGUAACUACAAUACCCUUCCCUUUUCACGAAUGUGACUUACCGAAUUAGACUUUUUACCGGAUUUGUAAUAACAUAAGCAACACGACGGGUGCCACAUGUGGAGCAGGAUCUGCUUACCCUUCCGGAGCACCUGAGAUCACCCCAAGUUUUUGGUGGGGUUCGUGUUGCUUAGUCUUUAGUUUUCUAUGUUGUGUCAUCUGUACUAUUAUUUGUCUGUUUGUCUUUUUAUUUUUGGCCAUGGCGUGUCAGUUUGUUUUCGAUCUAUGAGUUUGACUGUCCCUCUGGUAUCUUUCGUCCCUCUUGUUCCUCUGUGUAGCAUGUUUUACCUUUUUAACUUCAAGCUCAAGCUCAAAAUCAAAAGAAAAUAAAUUCUAUAAUCAUUGAGAAUCAGCUGAGAAUAAUAAAGGAGGAGUCAAGAAACCAAGGUGGCAAUAAUUACUUAAAGAGGGAGGACAAAUGAAACUAAGGGGCAAUGAAAAAAAGCUUACGUAAGGUGGAACGAUGAAACAAAAUAGGACAAAUAAAGACAUAAGGAUGGAGGAGGAAACAAAAGCAUAAGGAGGGAGGUGAAGAGAAAACCAGGAAGAGAAAAACACUUUAAAAGGAGGAUGAAUGAAGCCAAAGGGAAACAAAAACAAACGAGAAUGGAGGAAGAAAUGAACAAAAAGUGCAAUACAACAUAUGAAGGAGAAGGAAAGAAAGAGACAUUUACAAAUCACAAGUGGACGGAAGACGGAUACGAAGUGAUUAAUAAACAAAUACUAGGAAGGGGAGGAAACAACACAGGAAGACAACUAAAAACAUAAGCUGGGAGGAGAAAAGAAGCCAAAGGGCAAUGAAAAACAUCAGGCGGAAAGUUAGAAAAUAAAGGGCACAAUUAUUUUACAAAGAGGAGAGAAGAGGAAAACUAAGGUGAGAAUAAAAAUCCAUAUAGAGGGUGGAAGAAAUAAACCAAGGGGGCUUUACAAAACAUAAGGAGGGAGGAGGGAAGCGGGAGAAAAUAACAAAACAUAAGGAGGGAGGAUGAAAAUACCAAGGAGGCAAUAGAAAAACAUCAGACGGGAGAGGAGAAAAAUCAAAGUGGCAAUAUACAGGCAUAAGGAGGAUGGAAGAAGGAUAAACAAGAAGGUAGUAAAGAAUAAAGAAGGAGGUCGAAAGAAUGGGAAAAUUAAAAUAUACGAAUAGAGGGGGAAAGAAACCAAGGAGGCAGUAACAAACGUACACGUGAGGAUUGAGGAUGAAACAAAGCGAGUGGACAAUACAAAUGAUAAUACACAGGAGGACAGAAAUUAAGGGGAAAACAUAAACAUUACAAGAGGGAAGGAGAACAGAAACCAAAGGGGCCAAUAAACAAACAUAAGGACGGAAUAUAUAAAACAAAGAGGGUGGUAAAAUUAUUUGGGGAGAAUAGGAAGGAAGAGGGCAAUGUAAAUAUCAUAAUAAAAGAGGAGAGGAACCAAAGUGGCAAUAAAAAACGUAAUGAGAGAGGUAGAAGGAAACCAAGUGAGCAAUAGAUAACACCAUAACAGAGAAGGGAAAACAACCAAGAGGGGUUUUUCAAAAACAUAAGGAGGCAGGUAUUAAAAAAACCCAAGGCCGAUACAAUUAAAAGGAAGGAAGGGGGAGAAUAAAAACUAAGUGUGCAUUACAAAUUAUAAGGAGGGAGGAAGGGAGAAACAACGGGAGGCAUUAAUAAAGGCAAUAAACCAAGAGGAUAGUAAAAACAGAGUAGAGAAGGAGAGAGAAAAGAAGGGAGACAUUUUAAACAUAAAAUGGAGAAAGAAAGAAAGAAGCAAAAGAGGCAAUGAAAUAUAAGUACGGAGGGUGUAAGAAACCAAAGGGGCUAAAAACAAUAUAAGCAGCGGGGAGGAAAGAGGGCGACAAUAAUAAAACGGUAAUAAACAUAUCUUAGGAGGGAGGAGACAAUAACACAAGAGGGAAAUAUAAAAGGAAUAAAAAGUAAAGAACCAAGGAUGCAAUACAAAAUCAUGAGAAGGUAGGAGGAAACAAAACCAAGAACGAAAACAUUAUAAAGAAUGAAUUGGAAACAAAGUUUGGGUAAUAAAACAUAAUUAGGGAGAAAAAUAAAAACCAAGUGAGCAAUACAAAUGAUAUGAGAGAAGGAAGAAAGAACAAGGGAGGCAUUGCAAAAAUCAAAAUGGUGGAGAAAA